rnacentral:rRNA from 1 species
AGCGAACGCUGGCGGCAGGCCUAACACAUGCAAGUCGAACGAACUCUUCGGAGUUAGUGGCGGACGGGUGAGUAACACGUGGGAACGUGCCUUUAGGUUCGGAAUAACUCAGGGAAACUUGUGCUAAUACCGAAUGUGCCCUUCGGGGGAAAGAUUUAUCGCCUUCAGAGCGGCCCACGUCUGAUUAGCUAGUUGGUGAGGUAAAGGCUCACCAAGGCGACGAUCAGUAGCUGGUCUGAGAGGAUGAUCAGCCACAUUGGGACUGAGACACGGCCCAAACUCCUACGGGAGGCAGCAGUGGGGAAUCUUGCGCAAUGGGCGAAAGCCUGACGCAGCCAUGCCGCGUGAAUGAUGAAGGUCUUAGGAUUGUAAAAUUCUUUCACCGGGGACGAUAAUGACGGUACCCGGAGAAGAAGCCCCGGCUAACUUCGUGCCAGCAGCCGCCGUAA